AUGACCCCAGGCAAGCUGGCAAUGUGCUUUGAGUCACUGAAAACAGAGAAUUCUUCAGAAUAUAGACAGAGAUAUUUCUGUGUGCACGGGAGGAGCCAGUACGUGGAACUGUCCAAGGUUAGAAACCCAAGGAUCAGAAACACUUCGGGGACUCAGUGGAAGGAAUCUUUCCAAAGACCCAUCCAUCUCACUCUCAAGCCUUGAAGGUCAUCACUCAAUUUGGUGGAAUGUGAAGAGCAUUUUAAUUUUUAACUGAAGACAUUCUCGGGUGUGUUAAGGGCUAAACUAGAUCACAACCCCAGACCUAUACGGUGUCGGACACAGUAUCCACAUCAUUGAUCCAAGGUUUCCAUGUCCUCGGAGCUUG
rnacentral:lncRNA from 1 species